rnacentral:lncRNA from 1 species
ACAUUACCACAGAUCCAGUGGUAUCUCUGUCUAGUUUCUGAUGACAAAUAGGGCCUUCCACAAUGAGCAAUAGAAAAGAGUGAUUCUUUAUAAUUAAUUAUUUUGAGUUAUUUUAUUGGAAUAAUAGCAAGAACGAGCAAUUAUGUUGGAAGAGUAUUGUGGCCCUCUUCUGAAUUUUUGUAGAAGCUAAUUACAGCUGAAAUCCACCCAAGGAAAAGGGAAAACCUGCUUAGACAAAUGUACUGGUUAAGUGGCAUCAGAGCCUACUAAGGUGUGUACGUAUCCAUGCAAGAUGAAUUCUAGAAGUCACUUUAAGACAUAUGAAGGUUUAUGAACACCAGAUAUGAUGUCAGAAUCACACUGCUUGGCUGACAGCCUCUGUGUCUGUACCUCACUGCACCCAACCAAAUCUGGGCUCAAAGCAGUAACAAGAUUUUUCACUCAUUCCUUGUCAGUCCAGUUGAGCAGGAAACAGGUAACCUGAGGCCUUAGCAUUUGGCUUCUUUUGUUGAGAACUUGAACAUCUCGCCAGAAGCAUUAUGGUUCCACAUAACCAUUGGUGUGAGAACAGGGAGGGUGUAUAAAGGCCUAAAUCUAAAUUUACAUUUGAAAAGCUUGAACAUUAUUUUGUGGGUUACUUUUUAAUAUACAGAGCUGCUUCUUUCUGGUUUACUCUCCCUAGUCACUUUCCUCAGUGUCAUUUCUCCUCAGAUACAGGAUUAACCACAGGUUCUGUGAGCCACCUGACCGAAACAGAAGGCAAUGUCUCUUUCCAAGCACACUCCUCAGGUUUUAAUGGAAAUUUAGAAGACAGAUCAUGGGGAAAUGAGCUUGUGCAGACAAAAAACAUGUAAGUUGGGAUGCAAGACAACUAAUUCUGCCCUGUGUUUCCCUGGAAGCUGCUUUCCUACAGAAUUCUAAACUUCUUGGAGAUUCCAACGAGGCCAACCCUCCUUCUUUGCUCUGCUCCAUACAGCUGCAGUGGCAUUAAGAAAGAGGGACAGACUCCAAGGCCUGCCUUUAUUACAGAGCUACAUUCAGAAAUAGCUCAGUAGCUCGAAGUCUGGUAGUAACCAAAGUGUUGAGAUGGGGCUAGAAACUGCUAUAACUGCCUUCCACCCACAGGUAGGCUUUAUCAGCUGCUAGAGGGAGGCAGUGCUGUCCUCUCCUGGGGGAGUGACUCUGAAGUGUUUAGAAGUACUUUUAAGAAAGCUGCAUGAUGAAAUACACUAGCUAGUCAUGAAAAGGCUUCUCUCCUGCUUCCCUGUGUGAGCUGGCAAAUACUCUCUUUAAAAAGGUUAGAGAAACACAAACGGAGUGACUGUGGCAGGAAGCUCUUUUUUUUUUUUUUUUUUUUUUUGAUGGCUGUUUGCACAAGUAUCAGGUUGUGGGCUGCGAUUACUUGCUUCGUUUCUCCAGUGGUAUAUACAAACUGUGCCUUAAUGGUGCCACAGCAUGUGACCAGACAGCCUCAGGAAGGGAAA